rnacentral:tRNA from 2 species
GCCGGGGUUGCCGAGUGGUAAGGCGUCGGUCUGCUAAACCGAUGGGCUUCGCCCGCGUGGGUUCGAAUCCCACCCCCGGCG